CCCUAAACCCGAUAGAACGGAAAGCCCGGAGUGCAGCGAGGACUUGAAGAGAUAGCGGGACUACUG
rnacentral:ncRNA from 2 species